UACGUAGGGUGCGAGCGUUAAUCGGAAUUACUGAGCGUAAAGCGUGCGCAGGCGGUUAUGCAAGACAGAUGUGAAAUCCCCGGGCUCAACCUGGGAACUGCAUUUGUGACUGCAUGGCUAGAGUGCGGCAGAGGGGGAUGGAAUUCCGCGUGUAGCAGUGAAAUGCGUAGAUAUGCGGAGGAACACCGAUGGCGAAGGCAAUCCCCUGGGCCUGCACUGACGCUCAUGCACGAAAGCGUGGGGAGCAAACAGG
rnacentral:rRNA from 1 species